rnacentral:lncRNA from 1 species
AUCCUGGAAUACCCAGGUGGGCCCAAUAUAAUCAAAAAGGUCCUAAUAAGGGAAAGGGGGAGUAAGGAGAGUCAGUCUUAGGGUGGGAAAUGUGAGGGAAGCAGAUAUUAGAGUGAUUUGAGGAAGGGGCCAUGAGCCAGGAAAUGCAGGCAGCCUCUAGAAGAUAGGAAAGCAAGGCAACGAAUUCUCACCUUCAGCCUCCAGAAGGAACACAGUCCUGCUGACACCUUGAUUUUAGGUUCUGACCCUCAAGACUCUAAGGUGACAUGGAAGUUCAUGACAUGAAAUAAUUUGCAAUUUUGCUGAGAGAUUAAUUUGACUCCUAGAGGCUGGUGAACAGGACUGAGUCUCUUAGAGAAUAAUGUGGCCAGAAGCCAGUGUGCAGCCCAGGAUGUCUGCAUUUAGGGGUGAGGUGGGCUUCAACUUAGGACCUUGUGUGUGUAUGAAAAAUUUUUUCUUCUGCAGAAAAUAGAUAAAUGAUGCCUGAAAUGAAGACAACUUUCAGAAUGAUGAGAAUCUACACUUACACAGCUAGGAUCUUUGAAAGACGCUUCAAGAUGAGAAAUUUAUGAGAAGACUGAGCAGGACUGUGGACAUCUCUUAGGUCUCCUGAUGUUCAAAGCAUAUUAUGUGUAGGAUAUGUUUGGAAAUAGGUCACAACGCAGACGUGGAAUGCCAGCCUUCCUGCUUGAGGUGCCAUGUGCGACGUGAACCGUCCUACAACUUUGGAAGAUUAGUCCUGAGCUUACAUCUACCACCAAUCCUCCUCUUUUUGCUGAAGAAGACUGGCCCUGAGCUAACAUCCGUGCCCAUCUUCCUCUACUUUAUAUGUGGGACGCCUCCCACAGCAUGGCUUGACACCCGGGAUCCAAACCAGUGAACCCCAGGCUGCCAAAGCAGAAUGUGCGAACUUAAUCCCUGCGUCACCAGGCUGGCCCCUUGAGUGAUUUUUUGAAGAUUCCUUUAUGUUGUCCUUGCUCUUUUCCAAGAUGGCAGCCAAGAGUAUGAGGUUACAUGUUCCUUCCCUCCACCCCUGAAACUAAAGUGAUGGACUGACUUGUGGGAGAGAGAAACCAGCUUACUGAAAAGGAAACAUGAAGAAGGAGUUAAUUAAAAGAAUGCUGCAGAUGCAAAUAAUAGCAAUGGGGACACUUAUAUAUCAUUUUUUGUGAGUAGUUGCAGUGAGAAUUACAUUGAUUCUGAAAAUAUAUGGCAAACUGUGAAAAUGGUCAUUGUUUUAAAACUAUUAGGAAACAACGUGGCUUUAUGAUUUUAAUUACAAAUGGUGAAGUUGGCAUGAUAUAUUCUCAGUACCCUCAAAUCAAAGAAGGAUAGAACUAUAAUAGGAAAGGACUAAUAUUUAUUAAACACCUAGUAUGUUCUGGGUACCUUCAGACAGUUUAUAUUAUCUCAUUUAAUCCCCACAAGAAACUUAAAAUCAAACUUUUUAAACAAAUUUAUUUGUUAACAUUGGUAAAAUUUUAAAAUAAUUCCUUAAGAGGCAACCAGCAAGAAGACCAAAGCACAAGCUCAAAGAAUGGUUUAGGAGCAGGGAUUUGUAAAGACAGAAAUGUAUGAGUACAGUUGCUAAAUUAGAUUUACAAUUAAUCAACUUUCUACACCAUCAAUUUCAGAAGUUAAUCUUACUGGAUUGGAAUCACCUGUGUUUUAAUUAGUUGUGGCUUAUUAGUGGCUUAUUAAUAUAUGGUGACAACAAAAUUACGUUUUCAGCAAGGUUAUCAGAAAAUGCUCUGGCAUAAUAUAAAAAGUGAAGUACUUAUCAAUUUAUUUUUUUUUAGUUUGGAAUAAUAUUUUACUUUAGAUUAUCCUAUGAGUUGAGUAAUAAUCUCCCCAAUUUAUUGAUGAGGAAACAAGUGCAAUAAAGACAGAUAGUCUGACCAGGAACAUAUGGCUAGCCACUAUUGAGAGACCAUUCUUCAUGGAUCUCUAGCAUUUCUGCAUGUCUUGUAGGCUGAGUCUUUUGUUCUGGACCAACUUUUCAAAGAUAUCUGUAUAGUGAAUCAUCUUGGGAGACAGAGAUAACGUCUCCUUCCAGAGAAAAGGUUGGACAAUGUGUUUGCUGCUCGUUAUAGAAGACUGGGGUUUCCUAACCUCGGGGUUGCUCUCCUGGAACUCAACCAACCACUUAUGCAGGUAUCACCUGGUCCUUGUUGCAUUGCCUACAGGAAGUGGAAGUCAGGGAACUUGGGCAAGGCAAUGAUGAUACUGUAGCUAUUGCUAUUGCUGUUAGUAAAACAUUGUUCUUUGUCUCUGACCCAAGAGUCCCGUGUCUUCUGCAGCAUACUCGAAACUUGUUAGCUUGCAUGUAGGGUAAAAUCUCAGAGCCUUCAUAGUUCCUGACAUCCACUGGUAGUCAGAACUAGAAUUCAGGGUUCUAAAUUCCCAUGCCUACAUUCUUUCCAUUUUACCAUGACCAGUCUCAAUUUCCUGCCUUCCUCAAUUUCCCACCUUUUUAUCUUCUUUCCCCAUCUAACAUCUCCAGAAAUUCUGGACCACCUGUUUCCUCCUGAUUACAAAAGACUGAUUGUUCCCCUAGGAUAGGCUACUAACCACCAAGCCUCUGAAACUGUCCUUCCCAUCUACCUCGCUGGCUUCUCUUUACUGUAGGAGAAAAAUAAUAUAUAAAAAUACCAAAGACCGAUAAUUCUUAUUGCUCCAUUUUGAUGAGUUUAGUGAUUUUUAACCAAGAAUGCAUGAAGACAACGCUUUCAUCUAACUGGAAUAUACAAGAAGGUAGAAGAAGAGGAGGAAGACAUUACUUUAGCAAACUUCUUUAGACCUCCUUAAAUUUUGAAAUUCGCAUUGCAUAGGUGUCGGAAUAAAAACAAGAUAUUAUGUGUGUCUAGUCCUUAUCCUCCUUCAACCUCAACAGUCCUCCUAACACACCAAUUAGAAUACUUUAUCUCCAUUAUAAAUAGAUUGGUGGCUCCUUACCAUCUCAGGAUAAAGUCCAAACUUAGUUGCAUGACAUACAAGGCCCUUCAUGAUCUGCUGUCUUCUUUCUUCAACGUCUGCUGCUUCGUCUGAUUCACAUCUGGACCCGUCAUACUGAUCACAGCCUGUUCCCUAAGUCCCCUGAGCCUCUUUAUGUCUCUGUGCUUUUGUGUGGAAGCUCUUCCUCCUUCCACCUGCCUAUUUCUUACUUACCUUUCAGAUGAACUCUUCAUGGAAGGCUCGACUGAGUAUGGGUCCUUCUUCUCUGCCCCCAUUGAACUUAAUACUCUCUUCUACUAUAGCUCUUGCUUUGCAAUCAAGUUGCUGAAUUGCAGUAUUUCCCAACUUGAGUUUUCCCAAAGCACUACAGAUGGCUCACAGUGUUCAAGAGAGUAAUGGCGUCCAUUCAGCAAUAAAAUAAUCUAAGCUAUCAAGCAGUAAAAUAAUUAUCUAAGCCUUUUCUUCCCUUUAAAACCAACUCAGAGAGUUUCCAAGUAUGGAUUGAUGAUCACGAGAGGCAGUUAUAGAAGAUCAGUUAGCAUGACCCAGAGUUGAUAAUUCAGGUAUUUUAUUAUUCAGCCAAACUUUACUACUCAUCUUGUGGUAGUGACCGUUAUACAGCUCUAAAUUGUGCAUUUUUUAUAUUAUAGGCCACAUGUUAUUUAAUUUGUAUCCAUAACAGUCAGUUCUAUGCAAUACAAAGAAAUCUGGUUUUGAAAUUCAACUAUUUAAUAGGGAGAUACAAAUGACGCUGAAUCUACAAAUCCACCUCUCCAUGGACUUCAUAAAAGCCAUUAAUCACACUCAUGUGGUCGAGUGUCUCACAGUGAACUUCAAGACCGAUACUUCAAAAUCUAAUGUUAAAAAGGAGAAGCCAUACUGAUGAUUAUUUCCAAUUUGAUUUUUUACUUAUCAGGAAUUAAGACUAUCCCCACUCACAAUAUGUUAUUUACAAAAAUGUUCUUGCAAAUACGGCUGUAAAACCUGUUGAUUUGUUUUUUUAAGCACAAAAUGCAAAACUACCAAAUAUCAGAUGCUGAAAACAGUUUAUGCCUUUUUAAAUAGUGUGUAACAUGUAGUUAAAUUUUAUAUUACAUUUUAAUAUAUAUUUAAUUCUCAAACCAAAUACGUCAUAAUUAAAUUUAUGUGUUGACAGGUUAUGCUUUUUCUUAUGAAAUUUAAAACAAAAUGAAACACUUGUGGUACGUGUUAAAUGGAAAACAAGUCAAAAUUUAUCUGUACUUAGUUUGAAUGUUAUUAAUGCCCUCCCUCCAGAUAUCAAUGUGAUUCAUGGAGUCACUCACUUCAGGUCUUUAUUCAAAAGUCACAUUGGCAGUGAGGCCAUUUCUGGCCACUCAAUUUUAAGUUGCAAGACAUCCCCUAUCAUCCCUCCUGCAAUCAUCCUUCUGUGGCUUAGUUUCUCCUUAGCACUUUUCACUGUCUUACAGAAUAUAAAUUUUACUUUUCAAAAAAAUCAUAAUUAUUAUCUGUCUCCCUCACCAGAAUGUAAGCUUCAGGAGGGCAGGAAUCCUGUCUGUCAUAUGCACUGAUGUAUCCAUGGUGCCUAGAACAGUGCCUGGCCCUUAGCAGGUGCUCAGUAAAUAUUUUGGAAAAAGAAUUAUAGGAGAGGAUAACCUUAUAAUAAAAAUAUACCAAUCUAGAAGGAAACAUUUUCUGCUGAAACAUUUAUAUAUCAUUUGUCAUUUUUAAUAUUUUUACAUAUUUUUGUAUUUUAUCAUUUUUAUGGGAGUUUGCAAUGUUUAUGUUACUUUCCAAGUUAUCAAAUGGGGAAAAUGUUGUGAAAAGUGCACUGUGGUAAUGUUUGAUUCUCUUUAACUAGACUAGGAGUUUUCGUAGUCAAUGAUAUUCAUUAAAAUUGUUUUCUUUGUUACCCUACUGUCGCUAGAACUUAGCUCAUAGUUGGCGCUCCAAAAUAGUUAUUGAAUGAAUAAGUGGUAAAGUUUCAGAGGGAGGCCAACACAAGCUGGUGUGAGAAUGAAUUUCCAGGACACAAUUGUAAGGUGGUGCUAUAAUACCUUUGCUGUAAGCCUAACGUCCUGUGCAUAUCUGUCACUGUCUAAAGACCACUCAUUGCUCACUUCCUCAGUCUCCUGUUUCCUCUUCCUUGUUCAGUUCCACACCAAAGUCCCAAUGUCAGUUGGAGAUGUGGUCUUGAGAAGAUUCGCCCAUUGCUGAGUGAAGAAAUUACUGAACUAGUGGAGGGUGCAGGAGUGGUGGUUAGUGGAGCUACAAAGACAACUAGGGUAAAGAUGAAUAGAAAUAAAAUGAAAAAUGAAUGGAAAAUGAGCAGAAAUGAAUGGUUCUUUUUUGGUUAGGGAAGGUAGAUAAUUUGUACCAAUCUGAGUGAAGGGAGGAAAGUGAUUACAAUUGUCUUGAGUCAUAGAAGUUACACUGAUGAGGGUCAAGUCAUGAGUCAUUGCGUCUUGCCAUCUGUUUUUAGCUAUCCAGGACACAACUUGUGUUAUUCUUGAAGAAAGAAAAAGGUUUCCGUGCUCUCAUAUCUUUCUGAGAACACUUAGGGAGAUUCAGAACAGAGUUACAACAUGUGUUACUGGUCUAGACGUGAAAGAAGAGAGGACCAAUGAUUGUUUCACCUUUAAAUGCUGGGCAGGUCAAGCUUUUGUGUGUUAGAGUUGUUUUUAUAUACUUCCAACCUCCUCUUAUACUUCCACUGCAGAACUGUAGUACAGGUUAUAUUCUAAUUUAAAGAAUGUAAUUUUGAGAUUAUAGCAUGUAAGUAGUAGACUACAAGCAAUAAUCAUACUAUUUAUUUUCUUAGCAAGUCUGUUUUUUUAACAAGAUUUUCCCCUCAACCUUUACCAUACAUCUGUUUCCACUCUCAACUGGACAUCCUAGAAUUAUAAGGGCAUUCAUCCCGAUCUUAAAAAAUCUUCAACACUGGCUACUUUCUUUGAAUAAAUAAUUUGUAUGUACAGUACUUUUCUUCCAAAUUCUCAAGGAGCAUUGUGAGGGGGUAAUUAAAGCAGUCUGUUUCUCC